rnacentral:rRNA from 1 species
UACGAACUGUGCAAACGUUAUUCGGAUUCACUGGGCUUAAAGGGUGCGUAGGCGGCCAUGUAAGUAGGGUGUGAAAUCCCCCGGCUAAACCGGGGAACUGCGCCCUAAACUGUAUGGCUGGAGUGAGAUAGGGGUGUGUGGAACUUCCGGUGGAGCGGUGAAAUGUGUUGAUAUCGGAAGGAACGCCGGUGGCGAAAGCGACACACUGGGUCUCAACUGACGCUGAGGCACGAAAGCCAGGGGAGCGAACGGG